rnacentral:rRNA from 1 species
CCUACGGGGGGCAGCAGUGAGGAAUAUUGGUCAAUGGGCGCGAGCCUGAACCAGCCAAGUCGCGUGAGGGAGGACGGCCCUACGUGUUGUAAACCUCUUUUGCCGGGGAGCAACGGGCGUCACGUGUGUCGGCACUGAGAGUACCCGGAGAAAAAGCAUCGGCUAACUCCGUGCCAGCAGCCGCGGUAAUACGGAGGAUUCGAGCGUUAUCCGGAUUUGUUGGGUUUAAAGGGGUCGUAGGCGAAUCGGUAAGUCAGUGGUCAAAUUGAGGGGCUCAACCCCGUACCGCCAUUGAAACUGGAGGUCUUGAGUGGAAGAGAAGUAUGCGGAAUGCGUGGUGUAGCGGUGAAAUGCAUAGAUAUCACGCAGAACCCCGAUGGCGAAGGCAGCAUGCCGGAUUCCGACUGACGCUGAAGCACGAAAGCGUGGGGAUCGAACAGGAUUAGAUACCCGAGUAGUC